CAUAUGACAGAAAUUAUUCAUCUCCCUGGCCUCUUCAAAUUCAAGACUCAGGCACAUACAUCCUCAUCUUAGCAGGACAAGCUAAUUCAUUCGCAUGCAGAGCAACAAUACCAAUACUCCAAACAUACCUAGAGACGUCACACUGGAAAAACAAUGCAACCAACGGGUUCUCUGCAGCAGCAAAAUCGACAAUUUUUGAACUUGCACGACAUCUAAACAAGAACUACACGAUACACAAUUUUCCACCAUGCACCUGCUAUCCUGAACAUAAAUGAAAUGAGAGAAGGGUAUCCUGGACAUCUAAAUAAGAACUACACGAUACACAAUUUUCCACCAUGCACCUGCUAUCCUGAACAUAAAUGAAAUGAGAGAAGGGUAUCCUGGACAUCUAAACAAGAACUUGCAUUUUUUUCCAUCACGCACCCAUCGGUUCUGCCUUCUCCCCCGGCCCUGAAACAAGAGCACCAUCAGUUUAGUUUUAAACAAAUUGAAAGUUCGAACAUGAGGCAUGUAGAUUUUCAAAUGAUGAAAGUCACAAAAAGUGAGCUAUUUUUGUUUUACUUCAAAUAAUUCAACAUGAAAAAGAAAAAUACAGAUAAAUAUUUUUUUGUGCGAUAUUCUGAAGCAGAUGUCAGUUCGACCUUUUUAACUACUUUUUGCAUAAGGAGAUAAUGUUAUUGAACUGGCUAGGUACAUUCAGUUUUACCAAGUAGUAUGGUUGGACGAGUAAUGCAAGCACUGCUUCCAAGGUUUUAUAGAGAUCAGUAGCCAUCCAACUAUGAAAUGCAUGCAAACCCAAUCUGCAAACACUAGCGAACAUUGAAACAAACAACUCCUGUUUCUCAACUUUGAACUUUUGUAUGGGUUUUCUCUCAACUAUUGUAUCCGCGAGUCUGAACUGAUGCAAGUAUAUAAGAAUACCAAACAUUAUUACCUGAACCUGAAAAGGGUCUGAGACAGGUUGCCCUGGAACUGCAACUUGUAUCUUACUGCUCGUCUCUUAACUGAAGUGGAAGCCUAAGUAGUGCAGAGCAGAAAUUUAGUCAAAACAAGAAGGAACCUAUAAGUUAACACUUUCAGACAAAAUAGAAUUAGCAGCCCGAUAAAGUUAAAAGGGGGAACUACUGCAUGAAGUUUGUAACAACCAUAUGCUGGCAAUUUAAAAGAUUUUCAACAACGUUACGAGUAGUAUUAUAGUAAAAAAAAAACAUUACGAGUAGUAUGUUCAGGUCCAUAUUGUUUGCAACGAUUUUAAAAUUACAAAUUCAACAGCGAAAAAGAUCUUCAGAGUUAUAUCUGCUCCAUAUGAUUGUGUCUAGUAGUGUUUCCAGUAGUCACCUUGUAUAGCAUGUUAAUGAAGCAUGUAACUGCUCACAGAACAUUGAAUCACUAAACACAGUAAUAUUUAGACGGUGGCUCUCAGACCGGCGGUGGUAGGGAGGAAAGUGGGCUCGGGGGGAUGUCGCCGGUGAUGGGAACGAGCAGCGCACAUCGGCGAGAAGGGGGGCAGCAGCCAUUACAGAUUUCACGCGCCCGUCAUUGCCGUAACUUGAACUAUACUGCAACUUAAAAUAAAAAUUGAACCGAACUGAAACAUAAAAUAAGAAUUGAACUGAACAGAAACUAGAAAUUGGAGUGAACUAAACCUAGAAAGCUGAGCAACAGUGCUUGCUAAAGGUCACCAUAUUUUUUAUCUCAGCGGGAACAGCAAGGAUCCAUGGUCAUACAUAAAACAUAAACAGCAAGAAACAAAUGAACAUUGACAAAGGAUGCUAUGCAGAUGUAAAAGUUCCUGGUGUUUUUCCGCAACCAUGAACUGAUGUAGGCUGCAUGGAAGAACUACUUUUGGUUUGCAGAGUGAACAUCCACACUUCCUUUUUUAUCUUUGCGUAUAUAAUGUACUGUGUAAAUUUUUGCAUCUGAACUUUCUUAUCAUUUUUUUUAACUUCACUAGUUCAUAAAAACCUAGUAUAUUUCAAAAUAAAGCCAUGAGAAAGAAGAGCAGUAUUAAAAUUAAUAAAACAUUAGAUGGGAGGAUUAGUAGAUGCACAUACACUUCAUAUUCUAAUGGGCAUCACUAGGAGCACUAGCCUUUUUCUCUUUGUUGCUAUACGAACAGGUGUGCACAUCCUGUCUUUUUUUUAAAGCGCUGAAGUCUCAUGGACAAAGCAUCAAACAGGUUUCAGGCAGUGUUCUCUCUCACCUAUUUGCUAAAUUAACAAAGAACUUGCUGCGGGUUUCAUUUUGAACUUGCCUGGAAGUAAUACUUGUACUCUAGCCCAGUACAAGUAUAAUGCUUAUAGUCUGUAAACAAAAAAGAUGCAGAAUUUACAAACGAAAAGGUUAAAAUAAAAGUUGAAACAAUAGAGAAACUAUGAAGCAAAUAGCAUCAGUGAUCUUCUAACUGAGGCACUAUAUUGUACUGAUAUUUUUUUUGUCAAUGAACUUCUGCAAUUUAGGUACUAGAACUCACUGAUGCUAUUUACUCUUCGUUUUUAAGGCAUUUUCAGUACAUGCCAAGCAUUUGUUUUUUAAACACGUCCACGGGUUAAAUGGAUCAGUACAUGAUGAACAAUGUCAGUUUUCAGAAGCAAAACUUGCACUGAAUCGUUUGAACUCUGAAUAUGUCCAGAGAACAUGAGGCUCUCAUGUAAUCUAGGCUACACACCGAACCUAGCUUUUACCAUGAUGCACCUUGUACUAUGGAAUGUAGACACGGAAACAAAACAAUUUCUUAUAAAGCUUCCUAGCCCAUUCACUUCAACCUUUAGAAGACAAACUUCUUUUUUGGGAGAGAAUAGAAGAUGAUUUCUAAACUGCAGUUUUUUGCACUUUAUUCUUAUCACUCUUAUAUUGAACUUUCUAACCUGCAGUUGCCCAGAAGCCGUCCCAUGUCAGGCCAGACACAGACGUCCGGUUGGCGCUGUCCGGCCACCUUGUCGGACAGAAAAACAUGCCGCUGGUCGAUGUAUCUCGCCGUCAAGGGGAAGAGCUGAGGAAGGUUCCCUGGCAACUACGAGCAACACAACAUGAGUGACCGGUAUCGGUAUUUCUGUCUGGAGGAGGUGGUGGUGGGUUAGGGGUGCGACGACCAUGGGAGCAGGUGCAUCGGCGGUUGGCGAGGGAGCAGGGCCCAUGGCGGCCGAUCCGGGCGAGGUCGCGACAGCGGAGGUAGGUGGUGUCGGUGGGCAAGGGGCAUGCAUCAGCAGCAGCAGAAAGGCUGCAGCUGUGCUGGACAGUAGUAGGCGCAGUAGCAGCUUGCAGCAAGGAGCGGCCCGCACUCAGCUCCUUGAGCGACCAGCCACAAAACAAGAAGUUGUACUGUUGAGCAGGAGAUCCUCGACCCCGCGACUCCUCCAGCAGGCUCCACUGUUUGCCGUUGAAGCAUAAGCCAUGGUGUUGGAGUGGGACACGUCCACAGCGGUGACAUUGAACGGACAGGGGUGGUGGCGGCGAACGGCCUGUACGCGGUGGUGACGUAGCACCAUCGGGGAGGAGGCAGAGUGGUGGCAGGGGAGCAUCACCGGCUGCCGGAGGAUAAGUUGCCAAUUCCAUAUUCUAUUCUGUAUUGAACUUAAGUGCACGGUUGAAUUGAACUUUUCCGACACAUAUUCACUGAACUCAGUCCUCCUGAAUGUUCAUUUUUAUAGUUAUGUUGGCAUGAGGCUAUGAAAUACAUCUCAGCAAUUGUUUUUGGGUGAGUUUCAAAAAAUAUAAUACUAAGUGAACAGUACAACCUGACCUAACUAGAUAUGCAACAUGCAGUAGACAAGUUCGGUGUCUCAACUUUUCACAAAAAACUGCAGAUGUACUAUCAUCUAUGCAAAAUGUAUCAUAGAAAUAAUGGAGAAGGCUUAGUUAAAAUGGCAACACCUUGUUCAUUUUUGAUCAAAUUAAUAUCACAAAGAGCACUCGCUGCCUUCUCUACAGAGUCCAGGUUAUGGAAAAAAAAUGGUCAAGAAAUAAGAACAAUGAUCACUUGUACUGCCUGGAAAAUAACACGCAAACUUGUAGCAUUUGAUCAGUUGAACUUGUCGCAAUAGAAAUAAAGAAUUAUGUACACGGAUACAACUUGCAUCAUCCAUGACAGUUUAAACUGUUGUCAUCCAUGAUGGUCUUGUGAUUACUUGAAUGGGUAGCCACGGUCCAAUGUUCUAAACUGUACAAAAACUCAUGUUCUUUGACAGUUUAAAUUUUGUCUAAACUUACCGGUUUCCGGUCUCUGAACUUACAAAACUUACAGAGAUGUACUCAACCACCACCACGACGAUAAGAUGGACACAGACAAAAGGAUUCGAUGCUCAUCAGUAAGUAGUAGGAUAACAUUCAAGAGGGCAUGGUUCAGACAAAAAGAUUGAGAGUUUCAGACGAUAC
rnacentral:lncRNA from 1 species